GAUGAACGCUGGCGGCGUGCCUAAUACAUGCAAGUCGAGCGAACAGACGAGGAGCUUGCUCCUCUGACGUUAGCGGCGGACGGGUGAGUAACACGUGGAUAACCUACCUAUAAGACUGGGAUAACUUCGGGAAACCGGAGCUAAUACCGGAUAAUAUAUUGAACCGCAUGGUUCAAUAGUGAAAGACGGUUUUGCUGUCACUUAUAGAUGGAUCCGCGCCGCAUUAGCUAGUUGGUAAGGUAACGGCUUACCAAGGCAACGAUGCGUAGCCGACCUGAGAGGGUGAUCGGCCACACUGGAACUGAGACACGGUCCAGACUCCUACGGGAGGCAGCAGUAGGGAAUCUUCCGCAAUGGGCGAAAGCCUGACGGAGCAACGCCGCGUGAGUGAUGAAGGUCUUCGGAUCGUAAAACUCUGUUAUUCUGGAAGAACAAAUGUGUAAGUAACUAUGCACGUCUUGACGGUACCUAAUCAGAAAGCCACGGCUAACUACGUG
rnacentral:rRNA from 1 species